rnacentral:rRNA from 1 species
AGUGAACGCUGGCGGUAGGCCUAACACAUGCAAGUCGAACGGCAGCACAGUAAGAGCUUGCUCUUACGGGUGGCGAGUGGCGGACGGGUGAGGAAUACAUCGGAAUCUACUUUUUCGUGGGGGAUAACGUAGGGAAACUUACGCUAAUACCGCAUACGACCUACGAGUGAAAGCAGGGGAUCUUCGGACCUUGCGCGAUUGAAUGAGCCGAUGUCGGAUUAGCUAGUUGGCGGGGUAAAGGCCCACCAAGGCGACGAUCCGUAGCUGGUCUGAGAGGAUGAUCAGCCACACUGGAACUGAGACACGGUCCAGACUCCUACGGGAGGCAGCAGUGGGGAAUAUUGGACAAUGGGCGCAAGCCUGAUCCAGCCACACCGCGUGGGUGAAGAAGGCCUUCGGGUUGUAAAGCCCUUUUGUUGGGAAAGAAAAGCAGCAGGUUAAUACCCCGCUGUUCUGACGGUACCCAAAGAAUAAGCACCGGCUAACUUCGUG